UCCACGCCGUAAACGAUGUCAACUAGCCGACUGGCGCCUUGAGCGCUGGGUGGCGCAGCUAACGCAUUAAGUUGACCGCCUGGGGAGUACGGCCGCAAGGUUAAAACUCAAAUGAAUUGACGGGGGCCCGCACAAGCGGUGGAGCAUGUGGUUUAAUUCGAUGCAACGCGAAGAACCUUACCUACUCUUGACAUCCACAGAAUUUUUCAGAGAUGAAUUAGUGCCUUCGGGAA
rnacentral:rRNA from 1 species